rnacentral:rRNA from 1 species
GAUGGACGCUGGCGGCGUGCUUAACACAUGCAAGUCGAACGGAAAGGCUCCUCCUUGCCUGGGUACUCGAGUGGCGAACGGGUGAGUAACACGUGGGUGAUCUGCCCUGCACUUCGGGAUAACCCUGGGAAACUGGGUCUAAUACCGGAUAGGACGACGGUUUGGAUGCUAUUGUGGAAAGUUUUUCGGUGUGGGAUGAGCUCGCGGCCUAUCAGCUUGUUGGUGGUGUAUUGGCCUACCAAGGCGUCGACGGGUAGCCGGCCUGAGAGGGUGUACGGCCACAUUGGGACUGAGAUACGGCCCAGACUCCUACGGGAGGCAGCAGUGGGGAAUAUUGCACAAUGGGCGGAAGCCUGAUGCAGCGACGCCGCGUGGGGGAUGACGGCCUUCGGGUUGUAAACUCUUUGCGCUAGGGACGAAGCGCAAGUGACGGUACCUGGAGAAGAAGCACCGGCUAACUACGUG